CCUUUCAGAAGCUUCUCUCAUCCACACAUGUUUCCCUUUGUUGAUAAACCAUAUUUCACAGAAUAAAGGAGCACUUUUAGCAACAUAAUUAGCUUUGUUGGAACUCUUUUUCACCUUCAUGCAAUUUUCUGGUACAGCACCCAUAACAAGCAUCCUAGCGUCAUGUCUGUUUAACAAUUCUACUAUUCCCUUUUGAACUUGGUCACAAUCAGUUGUAACGAUACUUGCUUCAACCUUAGCUCUAUGACAAAUGGCCAAGAAAAUUUCUAAAAGCUU
rnacentral:misc_RNA from 1 species